CAAGGCAGAGGUGGAGCCGUUUCAGCUGUUUGUAGAGAUGGCAACGGCAACUUCGUUGGCAGUUCAGCUCUGGUGAUAGUAGGUGUUCAGGAUCCAGCAACACUUGAAGCCAUCGCUGUGAGGGAAGCUCUAUCACUUGCGGCGGAUAUGCAUAUUCAUAACUUGGUGGUAUCUUCGGAUUGCAAGCAAGUGAUCAUGGACAUAAAGAGCGAUUCGGCAGGAAGAUAUGGAGCGAUCAUUAAGGAAGUCAAGCUCCAAGCAACUCUUUUCAACUGUAAUUUUAUUUUUGAAAGUCGUAGGGUUAAUGUUGAGGCUCAUAAA
rnacentral:rRNA from 1 species